rnacentral:lncRNA from 1 species
UUUUUUUUUUUUAACUCUGCUAUGUCAAAACUUUACAUCAGUUCUGCUACCAAUUGCCUCUGAAUACCAAGUGGGUAGACUGUUCACCACUCCAAAAAUUUGUGAGCCUUGGAGGCAGAGCUGGUGGUAAGAUAGCCAAGCUAUUGCUGGCUACAAAGGGCUUGCUUAUUCCUCUGAACAAUUGCUGAUGCUUACUUCAAUUCUAUAAAUUCAAAUGCGAAUCUUCAUUUCAACAAAAAUGCGAGAAAUAUGACAAAGUGACAAUGACAGUUACAUAAGGUUUAACUAGACGCAGUUUAAAUAAUUAUUACAUUUUAGAAUGUACUCAUAAUCAGGUGUGACAUAUUUUUUACUGUUUCUGAAAGAAUUUUCCCUCUGACAUUAUAUCCCUCUGACAUAUUAUUCAACUAAACUCAUGAAGUGAUGUUAUUUCUCAUGGAAGAAGAAUAAAUCUUAACACUGUAGAAUUCUGCCAUUUUCUUCUAUGGGACAUAAAUUCUGCCUUUGUGCUGUUACCAUGUAAAGCAGUGCUGUUCUCUUUGCCCUGUUUCUGAGCUGGUGAUAUCUAGCUUUUGUCUGGUAUGUAUUACACUUUUAAAAUAAAAGGAAUCUGUUUACUUGAGGUAAGUACCAUGGGAUUAUUCAAGAGAGCAUGUUAUACAGAGCGAUCUUGUGUUUUUUCUCUUGUAGUAUUUUUACACUUAUUCUUGGGCUAUUGCAAACUCUGGUAUCAAUUCUCUUCAUGUUAAACAUAAACCCAAAUUAUUAUAUAUGCCUUCAGUGAAAGAAGCCUGGUAACAGGUAUGGUAUGUCUCGCUUUCCAUGGACACUUCAGAAACCUUCCUGCAGCAGACAUUGCCCUUGAUUUCUUGCAGUUUAAGGCACACUAUGUAAAACCAAAAUCAUAAGUAAUUUGGCUUAAAAUAAAUUAGAAAAAUGAUAACACGUGUAGUUGAGGUUUUCAUCACUCAUGCUUAUGAAAGAUGCUGCAAUGUUUUUCACAAAUGGUGUGACAUCUACUCUUCUUCAGAAUUUGUAUUCCAAUCCUAGAACCAAAACUUACAUAUCAUAGAAUCAUAGAAUCAUGGAAUCAUAGAAUCAUAGCAUGGUUUGGGUUGGAAGACACCUGAAAGAUGAUCUAGUUCCACCCUCCUUGAUAUGGACAGUGUCACCCUCCACUAGACCAGGUUGCUCAAAGCCCCGUCCAACCUGGCCUUGAACACUGCCAGGGAUGGGACACCCACAGCUUGUCUGAGCAAGCUCUGCCAGUGCCUCACCACCCUCAUAGUGAAGAAUUUCUUCCUAAUGUCUAAUCUAAGUCUCCUCUCUGUCAGCUUAAAACCAUAUAUAUAUGUAUGUAACCUUGAUAUUUCACUAUUUAAGUUAGUUCCCUUUUUAUGAAUCUGAUCUGUCGGUUUGCUUCAUUCACAGGUGUUGCAUUCUGACAACAUAAUCUUGCAAGCUAUGACAUACUUUACUACAUAUUGCUAUUCCACAUAGCAGAUAAACAUGGAGAAUGGAAUUUAGAUUGAUUUUUGAUUUCUGACUGUAGCUGAAGUUAGGCUCCCUUUAUGGGGUUCUGAGGAAAAUGAGCUCUUUUGAGUACAGCUCUUCUGAUACACUUCUGUCUUACUUUAGCCAUCUACAUGAGGAUGAAGUUAAUACUCCAUGAGCUCAGAGCAUCACAAAUAUAGACAUAUAAACAUUGGUAACUGUAUUCAACUUAAAAAAUUAUACCAUGGCAAGGUGGGUUCUGGAGGUUCC